rnacentral:rRNA from 1 species
AGAGUUUGAUCCUGGCUCAGGAUAAACGCUGGCGACAUGCCUUAGGUAUGCAAGUCGAACGAUACUGAGAGCAAUCGAAGUAAAGUGGCAGACGGGUGGGUAAUGCACAGGAAUCUACCCUUUGGUGGGGAAUAUCCCGGCGAAAGCCGAGGUAAUUCCGCAUAAACCCCGAGAGCAAUCGAAGGGAAAAGACCGUAACUGGUCGCCGUUGGAUGAGCCUGUGUCCUAUCAGCUUGUUGGUGAGGUAAUAGCUCACCAAGGCGAUGACGGGUAGGGGCGCUGAGAGGCUGGUCCCCCACAAUGGCACUGAGACACGGGCCAUACACCUACGGGUGGCAGCAAUCGGGAAUAUUGCGCAAUGGACGCAAGUCUGACGCAGCGAUGUCGCGUGAAGGAUGAAGGCCUUCGGGUUGUAAACUUCUUUUAGUCCGGCACAUGCCGGGCAGAAUAAGCACCUGCAAACUACGUGCCAGCAGCCGCGGUAAUACGUAGGGUGCGAGCGUUAUCCGGAUUUAUUGGGGCGUAAAGAGUUUCGUAGGCGGUUUGACGCGUUUGUGGUUAAAGCCCCCGACUUAAUCGGGGAAAUGCUGCAAAUACGGUCAGAUUUGAGGGUACUAGAAGAUGUUGGAACUCCUGGUGAAGGGGUGAAAUCCGUUGAUAUCAGGAGGAACACCAAGGGUGAAGGCAAACAUCUAGGGUAUCCCUGACGCUGAUGAACGAAAGCUAGGGGAGCGAAAGGGAUUAGAGACCCCUGUAGUCCUAGCCGUAAACGAUGGGCGCUAGGGGGGCGCCGUAAGGUACCUCCUGUAAGCUAACGCGUUAAGCGCCCCCGCCUGGGGAGUACGGCCGCAAGGCUAAAACUCAAAGGAAUUGACGGGGACCUGCACAACCAGUGGAGCAUGUGGUUUAAUUCGACACGAAGCGCUUAACCUUACCUGGGUUUGACAUGCUAGCUGCACGUCCGCCGAAAGGCGGAUCGCCUUCGAGGGUGCUAGCAAAGCUGCUGCAUGGCUGUCGUCAGCUCGUACCGUGGGGUGUUCCCUUAAGUGGGGUAACGAGCGCAACCCUCGUUCUGUGUUAAAUAUUCACAGAAGACAGCCCCGAAUUAUGUCGGGGAGGAAGGAGAGGAUAACGUCAAGUCAGCACGGUGCCUAUGCCCAGGGCAACACACAUCCUACAAUGGCGAAUAACAAAGGGUUGCCAAGCCGCAAGGCGGAGCUAAUCCCGGAAAUUUCGCCUCAGUUCAGAUUGCGGGCUGCAAUUCGCCCGCAUGAAGUCGGAAUUGGUAGUAAUCGCGGGUCAUCAGACCGCGGUGAAUGCGUUCUCAGGUCUUGUACACACCGCCCGUCAGUUCAGCAAAGUCGGCCGCGCCCAAAUCCGCCAGUUGGCGGAUAAGGUGAGGUCGGCGAUGAGGAAUAAGUCGUAACAAGGUAAGC